rnacentral:rRNA from 1 species
AUUGAACGCUGGCGGCAUGCUUUAGACAUGCAAGUCGAACGGUAACAGGCCGCAAGGUGCUGACGAGUGGCGAACGGGUGAGUAAUGCAUCGGAACGUGCCCAGUCGUGGGGGAUAACUACUCGAAAGAGUAGCUAAUACCGCAUACGAUCUAUGGAUGAAAGCGGGGGACCGUAAGGCCUCGCGCGAUUGGAGCGGCCGAUGUCAGAUUAGGUAGUUGGUGGGGUAAAGGCUCACCAAGCCAACGAUCUGUAGCUGGUCUGAGAGGACGACCAGCCACACUGGGACUGAGACACGGCCCAGACUCCUACGGGAGGCAGCAGUGGGGAAUUUUGGACAAUGGGCGCAAGCCUGAUCCAGCAAUGCCGCGUGCAGGAAGAAGGCCUUCGGGUUGUAAACUGCUUUUGUACGGAACGAAACGGCUCUGGUUAAUACCCGGGGCUAAUGACGGUACCGUAAGAAUAAGCACCGGCUAACUACGUG